rnacentral:snRNA from 1 species
AUACUUACCUGGCACAGGAGACUACCGUGGUCACGAUGGCGGUUCUCCCAUGAUCAGCAAGGUCUCCCAGGUCGAGGCAGCAUUUUAGGCCUCUGUUUCCACAGUUUAAUCUAUAUCUAUUGGAAGUAUUUUUUUUUUAUUUGUUUAUUUGUGUUUUCUUUGGAGUUUCGAUUC